UAUUUCUAGAUGUGUGUUUGACUGACUAC
rnacentral:piRNA from 1 species